CCCGCCCCUAGAGGCAGUUGCAGGUGUGGUUGCUGUACCACAUGUGCAUCAGUAGGUGGCAGAGAGGAAAGAGUCUAUCUAUGUCCCUGCUCAAGUGACUUGUGAACAUCUAAAUGAUUAGUAGGUUAACAUU